rnacentral:rRNA from 1 species
GUGAGGAAUAUUGGUCAAUGGGCGCGAGCCUGAACCAGCCAAGUAGCGUGCAGGAAGACGGCCCUACGGGUUGUAAACUGCUUUUAUGAGGGGAUAACGUGCGCCACGUGUGGUGUAUUGCAGGUACCUCAUGAAUAAGGACCGGCUAAUUCCGUGCCAGCAGCCGCGGUAAUACGGAAGGUCCGGGCGUUAUCCGGAUUUAUUGGGUUUAAAGGGAGCGCAGGCGGCCUUUUAAGCGUGACGUGAAAUGUAGGCGCUCAACGUCUGAAUUGCGUCGCGAACUGAGGGGCUUGAGUUCACGGGAAGUUGGCGGAAUUCGUGGUGUAGCGGUGAAAUGCUUAGAUAUCACGAAGAACUCCGAUUGCGAAGGCAGCUGACUGCAGUUGGACUGACGCUCAUGCUCGAAAGUGCGGGUAUCGAACAGGAUUAGAUACCCUAGUAGUCC